rnacentral:lncRNA from 15 species
GGAGUUAAAUGAUGAGUAGACAUUACAACAAUUGAACAUUUCUUAUAUUUUCAAGAUGAAGCUGAAAGUCCCAUGCAGGAUGAUGCUUCUCUACAGUGGAUGAUGAAAGCAUGCUGAUUACAAACCCAGGAGAGGAAUAAAGAACAGAUAUUGACAGAAUCAUAUCUAGAGAUGUGGGCCUACUGCACUUCAUACAAGCAAGUGUGCUAAUAUACCAUACUUGGGUUAUCAUCACAGCCCUUUCUUCUGAAAACUAGCCUACAACUUCAUCGAUGAAUGCAGAAGACAUCUACAUGGGACUACGUCUUAAAGAUGCCC